rnacentral:tRNA from 1 species
CAGUGAAUAGUUUAUCAUAAAAUAUUAAUUUUGGAGAUUAAUGAUAAAGUAAUACUUUUUCCCUGA